rnacentral:rRNA from 1 species
UCUGCCUGGUAGUGGGGGAUAACGUUCGGAAACGGACGCUAAUACCGCAUACGUCCUACGGGAGAAAGCAGGGGACCUUCGGGCCUUGCGCUAUCAGAUGAGCCUAGGUCGGAUUAGCUAGUUGGUGAGGUAAUGGCUCACCAAGGCGACGAUCCGUAACUGGUCUGAGAGGAUGAUCAGUCACACUGGAACUGAGACACGGUCCAGACUCCUACGGGAGGCAGCAGUGGGGAAUAUUGGACAAUGGGCGAAAGCCUGAUCCAGCCAUGCCGCGUGUGUGAAGAAGGUCUUCGGAUUGUAAAGCACUUUAAGUUGGGAGGAAGGGUUGUAGAUUAAUACUCUGCAAUUUUGACGUUACCGACAGAAUAAGCACCGGCUAACUCUGUGCCAGCAGC